UGACAGUGGAUCAUACUUCUUUGUAUGAUGU
rnacentral:piRNA from 1 species